rnacentral:lncRNA from 1 species
CUCCCACCCACUCCUGCCCGUCCGUCUUCUGCCAUGGGAUGAUGCAGUAAGAAGGCCCUCGCCAGAUGCUGGCGCCUUGAUCUUGGACUUCUCAGCCUUCAGAACUAGAACACCACCACUAAUGGGAAGACUGCCCCCUGACCGGCACAUGGUCUCAGCAUUCAUCCACAGAUGCUCCUCAAAUUGUUUUAAAAACAGCUUUUUUAAAAAGCUGUUUGUCUAUGAAGAUUAAAUGAGUUAAUAAUAUAAGCAAAGCACUUUGCAUGGCUAUUGGGCGCAGUGGUUCACGCCUGUAAUUCCAGCACUUUGGGAGGCCGAAGCAGGUGGAUCACGUGAGGUCAGGAGUUCAAGAGCAGCCUGAUCAACAUGGCGAAACCCUGUCUCUAUUAAAAAUACAAAAAAAUUAGCCAGGCGUGGUGGCACGUGCCUGUAAUCCCAGCUACUUGGGAGGCUAAGGCAGGAGAAUCGCUUGAACCUGGGAGGCAGAGGUUGCAGUGAGCCAAGAUCUCACCGUUGCACUCCAGCCUGGUUGACAGAGCAAGACUCUCUCAAAAAACAAAAAAAAACCAGCUUUUGUCCAGAGGUUGCUUUUUGUGGGUCUGUACGCUGAGGCCAAGUUCUAUGUAAGCAGAGCCCUCCCACCUCACCUCCAAACAAUGCCUCUAAACCAUCACAAUCUGAAAGGAAAAUAAAUCCCUUUCUUCAAUGGUGACCUGAAGCUAGCCAAGGGCCGGGUGCUGGCAGGUGGCCUGCGAGACUGGGUCGGAUCCCGGGUUAGUGUCUGAGGAGGGAUGCCGUGCUGUAAGGGUUGGGGAGCCAGUGUCUGGCUUCCUUGUC